ACGCCGGCGGGGGUGCAGGGGGGCCUUCCGGUGUUGCAGGCGCCGGAUCCGGAGGUGCGGGGUGCGGAGGAUCCGACGCCGUUGCCGGUGUGCC
rnacentral:tRNA from 1 species